UUGAACGCUGGCGGCAGGCCUAACACAUGCAAGUCGAGCGGUAGCACAGAGAGCUUGCUCUCGGGUGACGAGCGGCGGACGGGUGAGUAAUGUCUGGGAAACUGCCUGAUGGAGGGGGAUAACUACUGGAAACGGUAGCUAAUACCGCAUAAUGUCGCAAGACCAAAGUGGGGGACCUUCGGGCCUCAUGCCAUCAGAUGUGCCCAGAUGGGAUUAGCUAGUAGGUGGGGUAACGGCUCACCUAGGCGACGAUCCCUAGCUGGUCUGAGAGGAUGACCAGCCACACUGGAACUGAGACACGGUCCAGACUCCUACGGGAGGCAGCAGUGGGGAAUAUUGCACAAUGGGCGCAAGCCUGAUGCAGCCAUGCCGCGUGUGUGAAGAAGGCCUUCGGGUUGUAAAGCACUUUCAGCGGGGAGGAAGGCGGUGAGGUUAAUAACCUCAUCGAUUGACGUUACCCGCAGAAGAAGCACCGGCUAACUCCGUGCCAGCAGCCGCGGUAAUACGGAGGGUGCAAGCGUUAAUCGGAAUUACUGGGCGUAAAGCGCACGCAGGCGGUCUGUCAAGUCGGAUGUGAAAUCCCCGGGCUCAACCUGGGAACUGCAUUCGAAACUGGCAGGCUAGAGUCUUGUAGAGGGGGGUAGAAUUCCAGGUGUAGCGGUGAAAUGCGUAGAGAUCUGGAGGAAUACCGGUGGCGAAGGCGGCCCCCUGGACAAAGACUGACGCUCAGGUGCGAAAGCGUGGGGAGCAAACAGGAUUAGAUACCCUGGUAGUCCACGCCGUAAACGAUGUCGAUUUGGAGGUUGUGCCCUUGAGGCGUGGCUUCCGGAGCUAACGCGUUAAAUCGACCGCCUGGGGAGUACGGCCGCAAGGUUAAAACUCAAAUGAAUUGACGGGGGCCCGCACAAGCGGUGGAGCAUGUGGUUUAAUUCGAUGCAACGCGAAGAACCUUACCUGGUCUUGACAUCCACAGAACUUUCCAGAGAUGGAUUGGUGCCUUCGGGAACUCUGAGACAGGUGCUGCAUGGCUGUCGUCAGCUCGUGUUGUGAAAUGUUGGGUUAAGUCCCGCAACGAGCGCAACCCUUAUCCUUUGUUGCCAGCGGUUAGGCCGGGAACUCAAAGGAGACUGCCAGUGAUAAACUGGAGGAAGGUGGGGAUGACGUCAAGUCAUCAUGGCCCUUACGACCAGGGCUACACACGUGCUACAAUGGCAUAUACAAAGAGAAGCGACCUCGCGAGAGCAAGCGGACCUCAUAAAGUAUGUCGUAGUCCGGAUUGGAGUCUGCAACUCGACUCCAUGAAGUCGGAAUCGCUAGUAAUCGUAGAUCAGAAUGCUACGGUGAAUACGUUCCCGGGCCUUGUACACACCGCCCGUCACACCAUGGGAGUGGGUUGCAAAAGAAGUAGGUAGCUUAACCUUCGGGAGGGCGCUUACCACUUUGUGAUUCAUGACUGGGGUG
rnacentral:rRNA from 1 species